GACGAACGCUGGCGGCGUGCUUAACACAUGCAAGUCGAACGGACAGGCCCUGCUUUUGUGCGGUGCUCGAUUGCCGAACGCGUGAGUAACACGUGUGUAACCUGCCCUUGACUUUCGGAUAUCUUCACGAAACUGGGGCUAUUACCGGAUAUGAUCUCCUGCUCCAUGGUGGGGGUUGGAAAGUUUCGGCUGUUGGGGCUGGUCUCGCGGCUUAUCCGCUUGUUGGUCGGGUAGUGGCUUUCCAAGGUUUUGACGGGUAGCCGGCCUGGGAGGGGUAACGGCCACAUGGGGCCUGCGGUACGGCCCAGACUCCUACGGGCGGCAGCAGGGGGGAGUAUUGCGCAGUGGGCGGAAGCCUGAUGCAGCGGCGCCGGGUGCGGGAAGACGGCCUUCGGGGUGUGAACCGCUUUCGCCGGUGACGAAGAGUGAGUGACGGUAAUGGGUAAAGAAGCAACGGCUAACUACGUG
rnacentral:rRNA from 1 species